GAUGAAGAACGCAGCGAAAUGCGAUAAGUAAUGUGAAUUGCAGAAUUCAGUGAAUCAUCGAAUCUUUGAACGCACAUUGCGCCCGCCAGUAUUCUGGCGGGCAUGCCUGUUCGAGCGUCAUUACAACCCUCAGGCCCCCAGUGCCUGGUGUUGGGGAUCGGCCCAGCCUUCCUGUAAGGCCGCCGGCCCCGAAAUCUAGUGGCGGUCUCGCUGUAGUCCUCCUCUGCGUAGUAGCACAACCUCGCAGUUGGAACGCGGCGGUGGCCAUGCCGUUAAACACCCCACUUCUGAAAGUUGACCUCGGAUCAGGUAGGAAUACCCGCUGAACUUAAGCAUAUCAAUAAGCGGAGGA
rnacentral:misc_RNA from 1 species